ensembl:lncRNA
AUGGUUCAAACCAGGAAUACUGUGAUACUUCUUGCUCUGCUGCUAGUGAGCACUUUUGCAGAAGAAGACCCAGAGCCCAUUUUUAGAGCUCUUGGUGGGGAACUGGAGAUGGGUUAUUGCUUUGGCAAUGACAUUGCUGUGUACAGACUGAAUGCUGACGGAAAGGAGCUAUUGGGUCAGUUCUCGAGUCCCUCAGUUUUACCACCUGAUGCCUUUAAGGGUCGGAUCAGUUUCUCCAAUGACGUUGAAGGGCUCCUUGGUCUGAAGCUCACAAAUCUUCAGUACUUUGAUUCUGGCAUCUACAUCAGAGAGUGCUGGAGUGGUAGCACUAUGGAAAAUUAUCGCAAACACUAUCUCUACGUUUGUGACAAGGAGUUCAGCUUUAAGGAAAUUUCACUGACACCCGGCACAGGUGCAGAUCUGGUAUGCAAUAUGAGUUCCAUAAAACAUGCUGCAAUAAAAUGGUACAGAGAAGUGCACAACGUAUCUUUGUUCAUGGAUACAAAGAUUUCUUUGGAGCCAUUACAAGUGGAGUUUAAAAGCCUCAUUCGAGUUCAUGGUGAAGGCUCAUUGUUACAUGUUUCAGAUGAGUUUAUUCAAGACAGACCUCGUUUUUUCUGUCUGAUCAUGGAGGGAGAGCAAUGCAAGAGCUUCCAAACCAUAGGACUACCAGAUGAGCCUGAAACGAAGACUGUUUAUCAUUCUGUAGGAGAUACCGUAGUCCUUACAUGUUCAGUAGACCACCUCAGACAGAAUCACUGGAAAACACCUUUAGGACAAGUUAACUCAUCGGCACCAGUAGGGACAACCAAAAAGCAGAUGUUCGUGUCAACAAGUAUGAAUACUGAAGACUAUUCCCUAGUCAUUCGAUCUCUCACUUCAGAUCAUUCUGGGAGUUAUAAAUGUUUCUCUACCUUCCUUGUUGAAGAUUAUGUUGUGAAUGUGUGCCCUUUGCUUGAAUCAACCAAUAUUUCAUUUUCUGCAAAAGAUAAGAAGGUGGUCCUCCAAUGUAACUUCAUGUCUUCACCAUCAUUAAGCGAUAAAGUUGAGUACGCCAGUGUUCUGUGGUAUCGAAAGAAUGGUAAGAAGGACAUCCAAAUAAUGGACUCAGGGGAUCCUUCUUUAACCCCACCUAAAGAUUUACAAGGACGUGUACAUUUCUCACAGGUAGAUUCCUCUCUCAUCAUCACUGAUCCCAAAAAGGAGGACAGUGGGAUGUACUGGUGCGUGGUGCUAGUGGAUAAUGAGGAGACUGAUGAGGGUGAUGAUGAGGAUGCUUAUGAUGACGUUGAUAAUGGUGGUAAGGAAGAUGAUGAGGUGGAACACCAGUCAUGGAUAAUGGAGGAAGAAUACAUGGACAUGUGUCUCUUUAGGCAGGUCACCAAUCUAAAGUUUCACCAACCUAUAACAAAAGGAAAGGGGUAUUAUACAACUCAGCAUGAACCUGAACCUGAACCUGAAUCUGAACCUGAAUCUGAACAUGAAACUGAACCUGAAUCUGAGACUAACCUGACAAUGUAUGCUGUGUGUGCAGGGAUUAUAUGCUUAUUGUUACUGGCUGUGAUCUGUAUUUUGGUGGUUCUAAAAAUAAGAGCUAAGAAAAGAUCUGCCACUAUUCCAGAAGGAGGUCUUAAACCAUCUGAAGAGGAAGGAACAGCACUUAAAUCAGAGGCAUGCUUAAGUCAUUAA